ensembl:rRNA 5S_rRNA 5S ribosomal RNA
GUCUGCAGCCAUGCUACCCUGAACAAGACUGAUCCCAUCUGAUCUCGAAAGCUAAGCAGGGUUGGGGCUGGUUAGUACUUGGAUGGGACACCACCUAGGAAGACCAGGUACCGUAGGCA